rnacentral:rRNA from 1 species
GACGAACGCUGGCGGCGUGCUUAACACAUGCAAGUCGAACGGAAAGGCCCUGCUUUUGUGGGGUGCUCGAGUGGCGAACGGGUGAGUAACACGUGAGUAACCUGCCCUUGACUUUGGGAUAACUUCAGGAAACUGGGGCUAAUACCGGAUAGGAGCUCCUGCUGCAUGGUGGGGGUUGGAAAGUUUCGGCGGUUGGGGAUGGACUCGCGGCUUAUCAGCUUGUUGGUGGGGUAGUGGCUUACCAAGGCUUUGACGGGUAGCCGGCCUGAGAGGGUGACCGGCCACAUUGGGACUGAGAUACGGCCAAGACUCCUACGGGAGGCAGCAGUGGGGAAUAUUGCACAAUGGGCGGAAGCCUGAUGCAGCAACGCCGCGUGCGGGAUGACGGCCUUCGGGUUGUAAACCGCUUUCGCCUGUGACGAAGCGUGAGUGACGGUAAUGUGUAAAGAAGCACCGGCUAACUACGUG